rnacentral:lncRNA from 1 species
CGGUUAUUUCAUGAUUUUUAACCUUUUUAUUUAUCAUUUUCAUGCUAACCAAUUUGCAAGACUUGGGAUAUAUAAAAAACAGGAAUAAGAUUUUAAAAAUAAAACAUAUGAUAUUUUUCUGUCUCACAUCUAUGACAGAAUCAAGAAACCUUUCCCUUUGUUCUAUCAUAUAGUUUUCUCUUGAUAGAACAAGUCUUAAGAAACACAUAUUGGCCUCCAAGUUUUUGCAUAGAGAAGGAGCCAGAAAGAACACCUUUUAGCCUUAUUCUUGCUGCCAAAUUUCCACAAAAUGCCAACACUAAACCUUGUGCUUGCUGUCGUUUUUUAUAUGGUUGAAAACUUGGUACAAACAUGCAAAAAUUGCAUCAUUACACCUUUUUUUAACACCAUGCCAAGAAAUGAAGCCUUACAUCUUUUGUUUUGCUGCAAUAACAAGGCAUAAAAUGAUAGCCCUUUCAUCCUAUUUUGCAGCUACAAGAUCAAGUUAAAAUAACAUCAUGUUCUACUUCAUUCUAGUUGUAAAACAAAUAGCAAUCAAAGCCUCCUUUCAUGCUGUCAAAAUUGGCUUGAUUUGGCAUGCCAUAUAUGUUCUCUUUUACCCUUUGUUUAUAACUUUAAAAACACACUUUUGACACUUAAAAUUGGUGACACAACAGCAAAAAAAAAAAAAAAAAAGGACAUUUCCCCUCACUGUCAUUUUUCAAGCAACACCAGCAACCUUCAUCGACAACACCAGCAACCCUCAUGGCAACAACAACACCGCACCAUCUUCCAUUGUCCAAGGCUCCAAGCCAAAGCCAACACCACUACAACAGCUCCACUCUUCACCACGCUACCACCAUAGACUACCUAUCACAACACUAUCUUUCAUUGUCCAAGCCAUAACCAACACCACUACAACAACUCUUCACCACGCUACCACCAUAAACUACCUAUCACAGCACCAUCUUCUUUGACAUAACUACGAUAACAAUAGCCUUAACUUGAAAAAAAAAAAAAGGAAAUAGAGAGAAACAUGACCAAUAGAGAGAGAAAGAAAAAGCUUAAUCUUUGAGGGCUUUAAU